AGAGUUUGAUCAUGGCUCAGGACGAACGCUGGCGGCGUGCUUAACACAUGCAAGUCGAACGGAAAGGCCCUUCGGGGUACUCGAGUGGCGAACGGGUGAGUAACACGUGGGUGAUCUGCCCUGCACUCUGGGAUAAGCCUGGGAAACUGGGUCUAAUACCGGAUAGGACCGCAUGCUUCAUGGUGUGUGGUGCAAAGCUUUUGCGGUGUGGGAUGAGCCCGCGGCCUAUCAGCUUGUUGGUGGGGUAAUGGCCUACCAAGGCGACGACGGGUAGCCGGCCUGAGAGGGUGACCGGCCACACUGGGACUGAGAUACGGCCCAGACUCCUACGGGAGGCAGCAGUGGGGAAUAUUGCACAAUGGGCGUAAGCCUGAUGCAGCGACGCCGCGUGAGGGAUGACGGCCUUCGGGUUGUAAACCUCUUUCAAUAGGGACGAAGCGCAAGUGACGGUACCUAUAGAAGAAGGACCGGCCAACUACGUGCCAGCAGCCGCGGUAAUACGUAGGGUCCGAGCGUUGUCCGGAAUUACUGGGCGUAAAGAGCUCGUAGGUGGUUUGUCGCGUUGUUCGUGAAAACUCACAGCUUAACUGUGGGCGUGCGGGCGAUACGGGCAGACUAGAGUACUGCAGGGGAGACUGGAAUUCCUGGUGUAGCGGUGGAAUGCGCAGAUAUCAGGAGGAACACCGGUGGCGAAGGCGGGUCUCUGGGCAGUAACUGACGCUGAGGAGCGAAAGCGUGGGGAGCGAACAGGAUUAGAUACCCCGGUAGUCCAA
rnacentral:rRNA from 1 species